rnacentral:rRNA from 1 species
GAGUGAACGCUGGCGAUAGGCCUACCCCAUGCAAGUCGAACGGCAGCACAGUAAGAGCUUGCUCUUACGGGUGGCGAGUGGCGGACGGGUGCGGAAUACAUCGGAAUCUACUUUUUCGUGGGGGAUAACGUAGGGAAACUUACGCUAAUACCGCAUACGACCUACGGGUGAAAGCAUGGGAUCUUCGGACCUUGCGCGAUUGAAUGAGCCGAUGUCGGAUUAGCUAGUUGGCGGGGUAAAGGCCCACCAAGGCGACGAUCCGUAGCUGGUCUGAGAGGAUGAUCAGCCACACUGGAACUGAGACACGGUCCAGACUCCUACGGGAGGCAGCAGUGGGGAAUAUUGGACAAUGGGCGCAAGCCUGAUCCAGCCAUACCGCGUGGGUGAAGAAGGCCUUCGGGUUGUAAAGCCCUUUUGUUGGGAAAGAAAAGCAGCAGGUUAAUACCCCGCUGUUCUGACGGUACCCAAAGAAUAAGCACCGGCUAACUUCGUG